rnacentral:rRNA from 1 species
UACAGAGGGUGCGAGCGUUGUUCGGAAUCACUGGGCGUAAAGGGUGCGUAGGCGGGUCUUUAAGUCAGGGGGGAAAUCCUGGAGCUCAACUCCAGAACUGCCUUUGAUACUGAGGAUCUUGAGUUCGGGAGAGGUGAGUGGAACUGCGAGUGUAGAGGUGAAAUUCGUAGAUAUUCGCAAGAACACCAGUGGCGAAGGCGGCUCACUGGCCCGAUACUGACGCUGAGGCACGAAAGCGUGGGGAGCAAACAGG